AGAGAUUUACCAGGCUGUUUCCUUAAGGACUUCAGUGAAUUAAUCAAAAAGGUCCUGAGAAAUACAACAUGCCAGACCCCUUCUGGCUCAUAAGAUUGUACUUUCUUACUGAUGGGACGUGACAGCUGAGCAUGGUGCAUGGAACCCUGCAGGGGAAUAAAACAAGAGCCGUGCUGAUUUGUUCAAAGAUGUGUAGGUGUCCACACUGGAGCUGGCCAUGACAAUGGCGUCAGCUGAGUGCCGCACGUGUUACCUUUCGUUCAAACACCUUGAGCACGGUAGAAGCACUGACUUUGACAAGGUGCCAGGUGAUUUGGUGCAAAUGAAGUCACAACUUCAGAAGAGAGUCCCGGAUUUUGAUGUGCAGGUAUCAUGUUUUGCUGGCUGCUCUUAGAAUGUAAAUCUUAGGAUGCUUCUCAGUUAUCAAGCCAUGUCUGCGCUGCUGAGCUUCCAGAGCCAUUGACUGAGCUGAAAGUGAACUGCGCUCAGGAGAAGACGAAAGUGUGGCCAAAUUCUGGGCAAAUGUUUGCGUCUAGCUGGUUUAGAAAGUACAUUCCUCGGCAUGGAAAAGCUGAAAUAGAAGCCAAAAGCCAUCGUCAUUAAUAUAUACCUGUAGUCAGAGACUGAAUUUGCAUUGGCUGAAUAUCAUUUAUUUAUUCAUUCAACACAUACUAGGCCUUGGAGGUACCUCAGUUCUUAUGGUCUAUAGCAACACUGUCUAACAGGAAUAAAAUGCAAGCCACAUAUGUAAUUUUAAAUUUCCUCUUAGCCAUGUUAAAAAAGUAAAACGAAACAGAUAAAGUUGAUUUUAAUAACAUAUUUAAGCAAAUAUCGUUUUAAUGGUAAUCAACAUAUAGAUUAUUAAUAAGAUAUUUUACAUUUGUCUUCAAAUUAAGUCUUUGAAAUUCACUGUGCAUUUUACCCCUUACAGCCGUCUGAAUUCGCUCUAGCUACAUUUCAAGUACUCAAAAGCACAUGUGACUAUGGGUACCAUACCAGACAGCCCAGGUCUAGAGAGAAAAACAAAUACAUCAACAGGCAAUUUCAAUUCAGUGGGAUAAAGGGUUUGGUGAGAGAAGUAUAAGGUACAAUAAGAGCAUGUAAAAGGGGCUAAGUCUCUUCAUUUCUUCUCCUAAAAAUCCCUUAAUUCUGUCUGCUUCUCUGCAUCCUUCCAGCCACCACCUCAUCCAAGCCAGCACCAUCUCUCUCCUAGACUUCCAUGAUGGUCUGUGAAAUUAUCUCCCGGGGCCAUCCAUGCUCCUCUGCAGCUAGAGUGAUCUUUUAAAAGUGCACAUCUGAGAACGGCCGUAUGACUCGGGGAUCCCAAUCCUAGAGUGAACCAAAAGGACAGAGCAGAACUGCCCCAUGGGGCUUCCAAGGAGAACAUGAAAAAACAAAGAAGCACAUCUGAUCAAGUCAUUCCCUGCUUUAGACCUUAAGUAUAUGAUGAACGCGUAUUGAAGAAACACCAGACGUCGGUCGUAAAGCACCUGGGACAAGACGUCUACUCACUCCAACAUAGUAGACAACUCUGCUCGUUGCCAACACUCGUUCUCACCUCCUCUGAAAGCAAGGAGAGAUUCUGAAAGUCCAGAAAGAUGAAAGGAAGUUGUCACUCAAGAAGGCCUUGCCGCUGUCAAGACACAGUGGAUACUAACACGAAACAAGUGAGGGGAGAUCUUUGGCUAGAAGACACGUCUCUGUGCAGAAAAGACUCCUCUCCUCCCAGGUUUGGCUUGAGGGUGGGCCUGCCCCCAGCAAGGCUCGACACUUGGCUCCAGAAUCCGCAUUUGUAGAGCAGCUACUACAUACAAGCCGAUUCAUAGAAAUCUGCCUGUUACACCAUUUUAAUGUUUGUACCCAAGAGA